rnacentral:rRNA from 1 species
UACAGAGGGUGCAAGCGUUAAUCGGAAUGAUUGGGCGUAAAGCGCUGGUAGGUGGUUUGUUAAGUUUGAUGUGAAAGCCCUGGGCUUAACCUGGGAAUGGCGUUGAAGACUGGCAGACUGGAGUCGGACAGAGGGUCGUGGAAUUUCCGGUGUAGCGGUGAAAUGCGUAGAGAUCGGAAAGAAUAUCGAUGGCGAAGGCAGCGACCUGGGUCCAGACUGACACUGAGCGGCGAAAGCGUGGGGAGCAAACAGGAUUAGAUACCCUGGUAGUCCAUGCUGUAAACGAUGAGAACUGGCUGUGCGGAAGGGAAUUACCUUUUGCGUAGCGAAGCCAACGCGUUAAGUUCUCCGCCUGGGGAGUACGGUCGCAAGAUUAAAACUCAAAG